GUCAUCUCUUCCGGGUCGGAGGUCGUUUGGCCCGUCAGGUAUGUCCGCGUGCUGCUUUGUGUUUUCUUACUGCUCUUAAAGCGUCGUUGUUGUUCUUGUGUUGCAGGGCGACUGCUCGUGUGCGGCUCCGUUUGUUGGCUGAGGUAAACGCCGGUGGCUGCCAGGAGUCCUGUCCCUUUGUCCGCUCCUGCCUCCUGUUGUGUGAGGGUGUGUGUCCGCUAACAAGGUAAAGUGCUGCUCCACCUCCACUGUCGUUGGUCCCAGCUGAGCCUGGUUGUGCAGCGGUGUCACCUGUUUAUUUGUCUGCGCUUGGCACAGAACGGUGAUCUGUGUGGUAAGUCGAGGUGCUGCUAUGGCGGAGGCAGGAGCUGAGAGGCAGUUGCUCCUGGUGGUGUUUCCCCUCUCACUCACCAUAACUUGGUGUGGCAUGUGGUGAUUUGGUUUGUAGUGUCCUUGCCCUGCCUUUGUCUGUUUCCAAACUGUUUAUUUUGUCCCUCUGUAUUGUAAGUCAUUUGUAAUAAAUGAAUAUAAGCUAAA